GCAUAUCAAAAGCGGAGGAAAAGAAACCAACAGGGAUUGCCUCAGUAACGGCGAGUGAAGCGGCAGCAGCUCAAAUUUGAAAUCCGGCCCCCCCCGGGGGGCCCGAGUUGUAAUUUGCAGAGGAUGCUUCUGGCGAGGCGCCUUCCGAGUUCCCUGGAACGGGACGCCACAGAGGGUGAGAGCCCCGUCUGGUGGGGCGCCGAGCCUCUGUGAAGCUCCUUCGACGAGUCGAGUAGUUUGGGAAUGCUGCUCAAAGCGGGAGGUAUAUGUCUUCUAAAGCUAAAUACCGGCCAGAGACCGAUAGCGCACAAGUAGAGUGAUCGAAAGAUGAAAAGCACCUUGAAAAGGGGGUUAAACAGUACGUGAAAUUGUUGAAAGGGAAGCGCUCGUGACCAGACGUGGGCCGGGCGGAUCACCCGGCGUCCUCGCCGGGGCACUCCGCCCGUCCCAGGCCAGCAUCAGUUCGCGCCGGGGGACAAAGGCGGCGGGAACGUGGCUCCCCCGGGAGUGUUAUAGCCCGCCGCGCAAUGCCCUGGGGCGGACUGAGGUUCGCGCUUCCGCAAGGAUGCUGGCGUAAUGGUCACCAGCGACCCGUCUUGAAACACGGACCA
rnacentral:rRNA from 1 species